GUGAGGAAUUUUCCGCAAUGGGCGAAAGCCUGACGGAGCAAUGCCGCGUGAAGGAUGAAGGCCUAUGGGUUGUAAACUUCUUUUCUUAGAGAAGAAUACUGACGGUAUCUGAGGAAUAAGCAUCGGCUAACUCUGUGCCAGCAGCCGCGGUAAGACAGAGGAUGCAAGCGUUAUCCGGAAUGAUUGGGCGUAAAGCGUCUGUAGGUGGCUUCAAAAGUCUCCUGUCAAAGAUCAGGGCUUAACCCUGGGCCGGCAGGAGAAACUCUGAGGCUAGAGUUUGGUAGGGGCAGAGGGAAUUCCCGGUGGAGCGGUGAAAUGCGUAGAGAUCGGGAGGAACACCAAAGGCGAAAGCACUCUGCUGGGCCACAACUGACACUGAGAGACGAAAGCGAGGGGAGCAAAAGGGAUUAGAAACCCCGGUAGUCC
rnacentral:rRNA from 1 species